rnacentral:rRNA from 1 species
UACGUAGGGUGCGAGCGUUAAUCGGAAUUACUGGGCGUAAAGCGUGCGCAGGCGGCGCGUUAAGUCAGGUGUGAAAGCCCCGAGCUUAACUUGGGAAUUGCGCUUGUGACUGGCGUGCUGGAGUGUGGCAGAGGGAGGUGGAAUUCCACGUGUAGCAGUGAAAUGCGUAGAGAUGUGGAGGAACACCGAUGGCGAAGGCAGCCUCCUGGGCCAGCACUGACGCUCAUGCACGAAAGCCAGGGGAGCGAACGGG